ensembl:lncRNA
UUUUUUUUGGUAUUUUUAUCAUUUUAUUAUUUUUUUUCUUUUUAUUACCUGAAUGAUCUGCAAAAACUGAACAUUGUUGUAAAUCACCCUGCAGGUGACCAGGGUGUGAUGGCGGGGCCCAGCUAAGAGGUAGACAGCAGUUUUACCUUUUUUUUCUGUUUUUUGGAGGUUUUUGAAAGUUUUUUUUUUUUUUUCCUUUUACCUGAGUCUGGCGUGAUCAUCACACCAUGUAAGAAGCCCCAGAGAAACUGAAAUCAAUUUCACAUAUCAAGAAUAAAAAGCUUGAGUUUGUGUUUGUGAAGGGGGAGUUAAAAAAAAAAAAAAGCCAAAAGUUAAUGGAAAAAUAAAAACAAGAACAAAAUGGAUAAAAAUGUUAAAAAGAAAAAAUGCAACUGUACAAAUGCACAACUUUUAAAAACACUAACCCAGCUGUCCCAGGGUCCCGCCCCACCCGCCUGCCUGUCCUUACAGCCAGAGCCCUGCAGCCAGCCUAAGGGUCCCAAAGAUUCCAGAAGCAGCCUGUCCAAGGGUCCCCACAAAGCCCCUCCUUACCCUGAGUUUGGGGGUCCCCGCCUGCCACACGCCAAGCCCCACGUGCACAGCGCUCUUGGCCAGGCCCCAGUGGCUGCGAUGGCCACCCCCCUUCCUUGCGCCUCUUUGCAUAAGGGGCUUCUGUGCUCCCCCAGAUGUCCCUCCCACCCCCACCAGCAGGUGAUGUCUGGGACACAUAUGAGGCAGCUGAGGCAGAGACAGGACACCCAGGGGCCACAGGUUCUGCCUGGCAGGACAGGGGUCCCAGGGAUCCCCACAUCCCACAAUCUUGGGGCCACCCCAGGACACCCCGAGUUAGGAUCCGGUCUGCUCACUGAGGCUGGGCGCUCACACAUGCCACACAUACACCACCCGGGGGCACCCCGAGACCUGAGCAGGAGGGACAGGGAAGUGACCAGGGCAAGGAUUUUUGGCAUCAAAAGUCAGACCUGAGGUAGAAAGAAAUGUGCAGUGGACAUUUCCCCGAGGUGGCCCCGAGGGGCCUCGGCCAGGAGGGGACAAGAGUGGCUGGCCAGAUAGUUCUUGGAGAGGGGGCAAGAUUGAGUCUUGGGAUAGGAAGACCCCCCCACCCAGGAAUGAUUGUGCUAAGACACCAGCCCCCCAAAAAUGGGGCAGGCAGAACCUUCCAGAAGGAAAAGCCAAGAGAGCCCCCCCCACCACCACCCCUCCUGGAUGGGCAGAAAGGGGCACAGCAGUGACUCUGAGACAAAGAAAGACUAGGUCCCCUUCCCAGAGAAGGAAGGAGAGCCCGGCCAGGGGCCUGGGGGAGCCCCAGCACUCCCCCCACUCCCAGCCUCGUUAGCACCGACUCUGGGGCCCAAUUAGAGCCCAGGCUCACCUAGGCGCAGCUGCCACAGUCCCCACCUGAGGCCGGAC